UACAGAGGUCCCGAGCGUUGUUCGGAUUCAUUGGGCGUAAAGGGUGCGUAGGCGGCGGAGUAAGUUGGGUGUGAAAUCCCGGGGCUCAACCUCGGAAUUGCAUUCAAUACUGCUUCGCUCGAGUACUGGAGAGGAGGCUGGAAUUUACGGUGUAGCAGUGAAAUGCGUAGAUAUCGUAAGGAAGGCCGGUGGCGAAAGCGAGCCUCUGGACAGUUACUGACGCUGAUGCACGAAGGCCAGGGGAGCAAACGGG
rnacentral:rRNA from 1 species